rnacentral:rRNA from 1 species
UACGAACUGUGCAAACGUUAUUCGGAUUCACUGGGCUUAAAGGGUGCGUAGGCGGCCAUGUAAGUAGGGUGUGAAAUCCCCCGGCUUAACCGGGGAACUGCGCCCUAAACUGUGUGGCUUGAGUGAGAUAGGGGUGUGUGGAACUUCCGGUGGAGCGGUGAAUGUGUUGAUAUCGGAAGGAACGCCGGUGGCGAAAGCGACACACUGGGUCUCAACUGACGCUGAGGCACGAAAGCCAGGGAGCGAACGGG